CGUUAGUUGCCAGCAUUUAAGAUGGGAACUCUAACGAGACGUGACCCGGGGUCAAACCGGGAGGAAGUGGGGAUGACGUCAAGUCCUCAUGGCCCUUAUAUCCAGGGCUACACACGUGCUACAAUGGUAGGUACAAAGGGCAGCGACUCCGCAAGGGGAAGCCAAUCCCAAAAGCCUAUCUCAGUCCGGAUUGGGGUCUGCAACUCGACCCCAUGAAGUUGGAAUCGCUAGUAAUCGCGGAUCAGCAUGCCGCGGUGAAUAUGUUCCCGGGCCUU
rnacentral:rRNA from 1 species